GUGCCAGCCGCCGCGGUAACACGUAUGGGGCGAGCGUUGUUCGGAAUUAUUGGGCGUAAAGGGCACGCAGGCGGGAUAAGAAGUCUGGUGUGAAAGGUCGCAGCUUAACUGCGAAGGUGCACUGGAAACUAAUAUUCUAGAGUUCAAGAGGGGUAACUGGAAUUCCUGGUGUAGGGGUGAAAUCUGUAGAUAUCAGGAAGAACAUCAGAGGCGAAGGCGAGUUACUAGCUAUGAACUGACGCUGAGGUGCGAAAGCGUGGGGAGCGAACAGGAUUAGAUACCCUGGUAGUCCACGCUGUAAACGUUGCACACUAGGUGUUGGGCUGUUAAGGUUCAGUGCCGGAGCAAACGCGUUAAGUGUGCCGCCUGGGGAGUAUGCUCGCAAGGUUGAAACUCAAAUAAAUUGACGG
rnacentral:rRNA from 1 species